rnacentral:lncRNA from 1 species
GCCAGAUGCUAAAUCUCCCCCAUAAGAAAUCUGAAGACAAAAUCGCCGCAGCCACUGUCCAAAACCAAUAUGUACAGAACAGCCCAGAGCCCCGUUAGAGCAGCAGGUGCCGCAGCCGUAAACACGCGAGCUGAGCAUGUUGACUUUGGCAACACUCAUGCGUGUCUUGCUGUGGAAAUGGAGUUUAUUGAAACUGAAACCUGGGAAUAGACAGCUCGGCACAGCCCAUGCCCCACUACCUUCAUCCAUAGUAACAUCAGGAAGAACAAGGGGACAUGUGUGGUCUGGUCAAAUCUCCUGGACACUGUCCACAUAUUCUCUGACUUAGUCCUCCCAACGGCACUGUGAAGUGAGAAUGAUUAUCCUAUUUUUCAGAUGCUGGAAAUUUUUCAGAUGCUGGAAAUGGGGCUCAUGAAUGCUGAGUGAUUUGUUCAGACAAUUAAAUGGAGCCCAAAUUAAAAACCAGUGUGGCAGAUCCUGUUAGCUGCCUACCAACUUGCAGCUCCGCCCCCCCUUUUUUGAGACAGUGUCUCACUCUGUCACCCAGGGUGGAGGGCAGUGCAACAAUCAUGGCUUACUGCAGCCUCACACUUCCAGACUCAAGCAAUACUCCCACCUCAGCCUCCCGAGUAGCUGGGACUACUGCCACCACAUCCAGCUAAUUCUUUUAAUUUUUUUGUAGAGACAGGGUCUCACUAUGUAGCCCAAGCUGGUCUCGAACUCCUGGACUCAAGUGAUCCUCCUGCCUCAGCCUCCUGAAGUGCUGAGAUUACAGGCAUGAAUCACAGCACUGCCUGCACCUCGUUUUUUAUGGCAAUCUGGCUGGCCCCAGGAGAUAAAUUGUGAUUGGUCUUAGCUGGUCACAAGAAUCCUGUUCCCCUUUGGCAGGGGCUGCUAUGGGAUGAGCAUGUAACCCAUUCUGGCCAAUGGGAUAGAAGAGAAAGCUUUGGGAGGAGGGGCUUCUUGAAAGAUUUUCUCCCUGGUAAAAAGUGGGGAACAGUUCAAGGACCAGUGCCUCUUGAUCCAUGUCUCCUUCCUGUCUGUGGACAUGUUAUGGAAGUCAGGUGUGUGGCCUGUGGCAGCCUUCUGAGACCCAUGAGGUGACAUGGAGAAAGCCAACAAGCUGAAGAUGCAAAAUGGAAGCUUGGACUAUGCCCAGGUCCAGAAUGGCAUCAUGGAGUUGUCAAACCAAUCUGAGGGUCACCUGCCUCCAGACUUCUUGGUCCCGCGACGGAGGCUGGCAUCACCGUGGGUGGACACACGAGAAUUAUGUGGCAAACGGCAGAAUAGAGGGAGAGGUGAAGUCAGGCCAUACUUGCAACCUACCACACCAGGUUCAAAAUCACCAGAUAGAUCAAUAAGUCAGCUUGAAAUACUCUAGAAGCCAGCCUUCAGAAGACCUCCAGCCAAACCAGGAAGUGGCAUCCAAAGCUGACACGGGCUGACUUCCAAAGAGCAGACAGAGAGGCGAAGAAACGGAUUAAAAAUUCUGAGUUUGCCUACAAGGGUGGAUUCUGGAACAAAGUGGCCUGGAGCCUCUGACACUUUUCCUAGAAUAUCACCUUUCUGAUGACAGCCAUCUCUGUAAUUACAAUGAUAAUUGCUUCCAAUGUAAAAUACCACUUAUCUGGCUAGAAGAGCUGUCUGGGUCAAGGCAAAAAACAGAAAAUAAAACAAACAAAAAAACAAUGUUCAAUUUCUUGUUGUCAAAUGAAUAAUGUUAUCAUCAUUAAACCAAUUCUAGAGGAUAAUCUGGUGGAGGAAGGUGGCUUAAUUUAGGACUGGCGGGGACAUCAAACUAAAUAUAAGUGUUGUGUGUUCCACGCACCGGAAGUCCUUCCUCAAUGUUUACAGUGAGACACCAAAAGUAAAAGACAGGACCCAAGCCCAGGGCAUUGGGAGGGAAGCAAGAAGGGACUCAAAUGCCACAGAAUGGAAGGCAGGAUUCCACAGAUGUGAGCAAUUUAUCUCAAAACAAGCAUUUCAAAAGGCUGAGAAAAGAGAGAGAGACAGAGAGUGAGACCCCGCCCCCCAUUUUCACAGUAUUAUAAGUGGGCUGCCUUUCCCAAGGUCCUGCCAUGUCAGGGUCUUUGUGUGUGUGCAUGUGUGUCCGUGUGUGUGUGCAUAUGUGUGUGUGUGCCCACACGAGUGUGUGUGCAUUUGUGUCCAUGUGUGUGCACACGCCAGUGUGUGCACGCGCGAGUAUGUGUAUGCAAGCAUGUGUGCGUGUGUGUGUGUGUGUCUGUG